GCCCCGCAAGUUUAAAUACAACAAUAUAAGGAUAUAUCAUGAUUGAAGAGUAUGAAUAAUGAGCUGGCUAUAAUUCAUCAAUAUAAUUGAGAACUAGCAGGAACAAACUUUUGACUGAACAAGUUUUAAACAUGAACAAACAUUUCUGAACCAACUGGUAAUGAAGGUGAUCAGCCUUUCAUACCUGACUUAUACAUGCAAGAUGUACAGAGUACAAUUUUCAUGGCAAUCAGCAAUGAUUAACCAUAAGCUUGAAUAAAAC
rnacentral:lncRNA from 1 species